rnacentral:lncRNA from 1 species
UAUGACUAAACGAGAAGCUUUGAGAAUGAUGUAUUUUGUUCAAAAUUUUUGGCAUUAUUUGCUUGGUUAUGACUUUGUAUUUGAUGUCAAUUAUGAUGCUUUUAAAUAUAUGGUUAAUAGACCUCAAUUGAGUGGAUGCAUUACUCGAUGGCUGUUACUACUUCAAGAAUUUAACUUUACUAUCAAUAUCAUAUUAGAAAAUAAAUAUGCCAAUGCGGAUGACAUGUCCCAUUUAUCCAAUGUAUUGGAUAAUGAGCCUAUCAAUG